rnacentral:rRNA from 1 species
UACGUAGGUGGCAAGCGUUGUCCGGAUUUACUGGGCGUAAAGGGAGCGUAGGCGGACUUUUAAGUGAGAUGUGAAAUACCCGGGCUCAACCUGGGUGCUGCAUUUCAAACUGGAAGUCUAGAGUGCAGGAGAGGAGAGUGGAAUUCCUAGUGUAGCGGUGAAAUGCGUAGAGAUUAGGAAGAACACCGGUGGCGAAGGCGACUCUCUGGACUGUAACUGACGCUGAGGCUAGAAAGCGUGGGGAGCAAACAGG